rnacentral:ncRNA from 1 species
UGGCGUGACACGGGGUGCCACAGGCUGAGAAAAAACCCGUUGAACCUGUCGAGAUAAUUCUGACGAAGGGAAUGUCAAUGAUGGAUCGU